AGUAUCAUUAAGUGAAUACAUAGCUUAAUGAGGGGAACUCAGGGAACUGAAACAUCUAAGUACCUGAAGGAAGAGAAAGAAAUUCGAUUCCGUAAGUAGCGGCGAGCGAACGCGGAUUAGCCCAAACCAAUACAGUUUUCUUUAUUGGGGUUGCGGACAUAUCAUAACGAAGAGGUAUCGUAAUUGAAGAGGUUUGGAAAGACCCACCACAGAAGGUAAUAGUCCUGUAUGUUAAACGAGAAGACUUUAGAUAUGAUCCAGAGUACCACGG
rnacentral:rRNA from 1 species